rnacentral:rRNA from 1 species
GGAGGGUGCAAGCGUUAAUCGGAAUUACUGGGCGUAAAGCGCACGCAGGCGGUCUGUCAAGUCGGAUGUGAAAUCCCCGGGCUUAACCUGGGAACUGCAUUCGAAACUGGCAGGCUGGAGUCUUGUAGAGGGGGGUAGAAUUCCAGGUGUAGCGGUGAAAUGCGUAGAGAUCUGGAGGAAUACCGGUGGCGAAGGCGGCCCCCUGGACAAAGACUGACGCUCAGGUGCGAAAGCGUGGGGAGCAAACAGGAUUAGAUACCCUGGUAGUCCACGCCGUAAACGAUGUCGACUUGGAGGUUGUUCCCUUGAGGAGUGGCUUCCGGAGCUAACGCGUUAAGUCGACCGCCUGGGGAGUACGGCCGCAAGGUUAAAACUCAAAUGAAUUGACGGGGGCCCGCACAAGCGGUGGAGCAUGUGGUUUAAUUCGAUGCAACGCGAAAAACCUUACCACUCCUUGACAUGGAAAUUAUACCUAUUCGAAGGGAUAGGGUCGGUUCGGCCGGGUUUCACACAGGUGU